rfam:Intrasporangium chromatireducens Q5-1 contig344, whole genome shotgun sequence.
UAUCCAUCCAGAGCGGCCUAGAGACCUGGCUCGUCAACGCCGCAGCAACCACCCCAACGGGGCCGGUGCUAAUGCCAGGAUCGAUGAGGU